AUUUGUCCUACCUGGGGUUCUACUGACUCUAAUGAAGAAUACAGAAAACAUAGCAUUGAUUCCAGUUAGUCCUUCUCCUACUUACACUCAAGUAUCUUUCAGUAAGAGAAACAAAAUCUUUAAAAUAUGUAUAAAUAUAUUUUUCUUUAUAAAAUGAUUUAAAUACAGCAUCUAUUUAUUAACUCAUUACAUCUAUGUAUUUAUAUAUUUUUAAAUUACUUUUCAAUGCAUUAGAAGUUAUUUACCUGAUGAGAAAAUCUGAUAACAGAACCAAGAUUAACAGUAACUGUUUUGGGCACAGACCAGAUGUGAGAGCACCUACAUGGAGUAUGGUAUGUAAAUUAAUAAACUGUGGAGAAGUUAGCAUGGAGUAAUGAGAGAGAGAUGUGGCACACCCAAGCCAUGGCAAAGACCAAAUACUCGAGUCUUUGAAGUCCUAUCAGAAAAUGUUUGUUAUAUAUUAACUCCAUAUUAAAUCUACACAAUUUUUCUGGCAUUCCUACCAAUUUCUGAUUGUUCUAGAACCUCACUACUUUAAGGAUUAGAAUUUCUUUUUUUUUUUACUUCUGUACCAUCUGUAUUUUAUGCUGGUUUGAACAGAUAGUCUGUUAGGGCUUUUUUUAGCCUAAAUGAUUAAUUUUCCUUCACUUUACCCUUACAGAUGCUCAAACUUUUUUGUUUAUCCAUUUCCAUUUCUUAAAACAACUUCUCCUUUCCAUGCAGGAAUGCUCUGUUUCUGUUAUAAUUUAAAUUAUUAUUUUUUUUCUUGAAUAGGUGUGAAUAGAACUGAAUCACAUUAUUGUGCUAUGGCCUUGUACAAUGGGAUUACAAUACCAUUCCGUUUCACUGGAAAUAAUGUGCUUCGUACAUAUCCUGGAAUUGAGUUUGUCAUGCUCAGUGUCAUACUUCUUGAUAAGUAUAUCCUUCUGGCCCUUACUCAUCUCUCUGAAAGAAUCCUUUGAGCCAGUUAAAGACCUCAAGCUUCAACUGAUCUUCUGCAAAGUUUUUCUUUUCUGCAUGGUGAGUUAAAAUGAAUAUAGUAGGCAGGGAAUCUAUCACUCUUUAUGUUUAAAAGUUUCUGAAGUAGAUUGGUUUUUCUGAUUCCUUCAUGGCUCAUUUCUGUGAGUAAUUCUUGUUUUGAAGCUCAUUCACAGUCAGCUGGUUCAUAUGUGUUGUGUUUAGAACCCCAGCUGGUUCAUCUGAGAUGUGAGUGACUGUUUUAUCCCUUAUAUUGGUUGAAACUGAGUUACAGUGCAAAUACUGGUGAUGGCAAAUCGUAAUUUUAAUUCAAGGAAGUCUAUGAUAUUGUCUAGAAAUAGCCGUUUUCAUGACUAAAUCUGACAGGAAGCAUAUUCAUGGCAAUAUCUCAGUAUGAUAGGCACAGGGGAAAGGAAUUGAUGUAAAAAUCUAAACAGUAUAUCUGGAUUAUCUUUGUUGUUGUUGUCGUUAUUGUUUGUUUUUGCCUGAUUCUAAUUUAUGAAGAUAAGGAAUCAGUGUUUGAGAAGCCACUAAAAUCUGUUCUUGUCUAAUGAGUUUCAGAAAUUUCUGGCAUGGAACUUGAUGGAAAGGAGGGAGGAAAAGAAAACUACCAUUUCUUUGAAGCUCCAUACAAUGAUCUUUGGCCAAACAAAUCUAAACAAGUGCUACCAAUCCCCGUCUGCUCCAGAAAUACAAGACUUCUGACAAAACACAGUGUCUUUGGCUUAGAAAACACAGCCUGCUGCUCAGUAAGACAAAGCUGGUGAUAAUAGAAAGAGCUGUUGUAGAGGUGAAAGGGAGUUUGUGUACAUAGCAAGGAUGUUGGAAGUACAAAGAAGAGACAAACGGUACUGAGUGUUUCGUUUUUUAUGCUUGAUGUAACAUUGUGUUUCUUUGCAGAAAGCCCUUGGGCUUUGCAAACAAUGAAGCAAGUUCUGCCCUUAUUUGUAUCUCUCCUUUCGUUUCAGUGAGAGAGCGGUGAUGGAAUGAAGUCUUAAAAGCACUUCAUGGGAAGUGUAGCCCGGCAGCAGACAGUACCAAACCUCUGCUCAGUACAUACUGGGCAGUGCUGCAUACAUCCCAGUCUGCUCUUAAACCACCUGUUUCAUUACCCUUAUAAAUGUCUUCCCAGCUCUCAGCAUUGUUGCAUUUUAAUCUGAUUUAAGGAAUUCUAAGGAUCAGAAUUAAAAUGAUUUGAACUGUUACCUACCUAAAAGACUAGGAAGGUUGACAGUACAGUAUAGUGACUGAAACUUUUAAGAAAAUGCAACAAAGGAAAGAACCCUUCUCUUUCGGUGACUAAGUAACCAUACUUGUCUCCAUGAGAAGUGCUGAGCUGUCCCUAUAGUUUAGGGAUGCUGCUGUAUGUUUCUCUGCUGCUUUUGGCUAUUCCCUAGUGUUACACAGAACAGAAAAGAGGCAAUGCAGAAAUUCCUUCAGUCUUAGUGACCUUUGUUCAUUAGCCAAAUUUGUGUUUGAGUGUUUUUAACCCUGCAAGACUGAAAUUGUGCCCAGUUCCCUUCAAACUUUCUGUCCAUCUCUAGCUGCCAACCUGCAUUAGUUCCCUACAUCAUCAUCCAUAACCACUAGAGUUCCCCAUGGUUUUUUUUCAGUUUGAGUUUAUGGGUCAGAAUAAGAGCAGGCUCUUGAGCUGUGUGUAAGACUCAUGUCUGUAUGAUAUUAUGGGGACUUUAAAUUGAUUAGCAGAUUGAAUUCAUGCUGGAGCUUAUUUCUUUUCUGAGAGGGGAAAAGUGGGUUCAGGCAGUGUAUUCUUGUUUGUGAAUCUCAUUCACAAAUGUUUCCAGUCUUAGAGAGAGAUUAAAAUGGUGACAUAUGAAGAUGACAGCAAAGUAUAUGAUUCCCUAGUGCCCAGAAAACAUCUAUGCUUAAAAGCUGUCAGCCAGCAAAUCGUCUUUGCUUUCUGCAAAACUGUUGUGAAUUUCCAUCAAUUUUCUCUGCAUCCAGAAUACUCAAAUGAAGGUCAUUCUGUCGUUUUGUUGACAUCUCAAUUUUGCAUCAUCAAAUGAAAGUCAGCAUUGAUGUAGAUGUGCCCAGAUAAAGAGAUUGCAGAUUCAUUCAUUACACAUGCAAGGUGUAUCUUUUGCUUUGGUGGAAAUGCAUUGAAAUAACACUUGAGUUAUGAUAUUGGGCAUCCUGAAAAAUUUACUGUGCUCCAAUUAAUGAUCUCGAAUUUCUUUUGAGUCAGUUUGAGUUGAAUUUGAUAAAGCUAUUAGUUUUGGUGCUUUACCACUUCUAGCACAGAAAGACAUUCCAGGUCAUGACUUGGACCCUUGGGAAUGAGGAUUGCCCAGCAAUUCAUUCCUGAUCAGAGAAACCCUGAAUGGUUCAAGUGUUCAUCCAGGUGCAUCUGAAGAUCUUCGGAGGAGAAUUCUCAUUUGAACAGACUUUCCUUUGAGCUUUUUUUGCAUCUCUGAAUGGCUUUGAUACAGAAGAGCAAUGGUCUCAUUUAUGGUUUUCUUUUUCAGCAUGUUUUUUGUUUUUCCAGUAUUUCAUUUGUGACUUUGAGUGAAACAGAGCAGCAAAAUAAUACAAAACUUCAAGAGAAAAAAAAUGUAAUUUUUAGGAGGCAGUCCAACAGUAUACAUAGCCCAAGAACAGCCGAAAUUUAAUGUUAGGGCUUAAUUGUUGUCUAGCUUGGCCCAUCCUCUUUUGUGUCCUGUUGUCACAGUGUUCCUAAGUGAUAAUUAGCCAGCAGAUAACUUGUUUCAGUAACAAGCAUAGCAAUGUUCAGUUUAGAAAUGAAUUCUAAAUGUGUUUGUAAUAAAAAGAUUUAUUAUUCUGUUUUUACUCUUUAG
rnacentral:lncRNA from 1 species